rnacentral:rRNA from 1 species
AUUGAACGCUGGCGGCAAGCCUAACACAUGCAAGUCGAACAAGUGGCGGACGGGUGCGUAAUGUCUGGGAAACUGCCUGAUGGAGGGGGAUAACUACUGGAAACGGUAGCUAAUACCGCAUACCAUCGGAUGUGCCCAUAUGGGAUUAGCUAGUAGGGGGGGUAACGGCUCACCUGGGCGACGAUCCCUAGCUGGUCUGAGAGGCUGACCAGCCACACUGGAACUGAGACACGGUCCAGACUCCUACGGGAGGAAGCAGUGGGGAAUAUUGCAAAAUGGGCGCAAGCCUGAUGCAGCCAUGCCGCGUGUAUGAAGAAGGCCUUCGGGUUGUAAAGUACGUUCAGCGGGGAGGCGUUACCCGCAGAAGAAGCACCGGCUAACUCCGUGUCAGCAGCCGCGGUAAUUC